UAGAAGGUAGUAUAGAGGUAGUACAUAAAGUUUUGGGCUUUGUGGUGCAGGUUCGUGUCCUGUUCUUCUA
rnacentral:tRNA from 1 species